rnacentral:piRNA from 1 species
UGAGACUAAAAUUUGGCCACAGAAGACAU